GCCGGGGUCCCCUAAUCUGGUAUGGGGCAGGCCUUGAGAGCCUGUGGCUGUCUCAGCCUUGCGGGUUCAAAUCCCACCCCCGGCG
rnacentral:tRNA from 1 species